AUUCAUCGGCAGCUGCCACCUCGCCUUCGCUCUUUUCUGAUGCUUAUCCACGAAGGCAUCACCGCAAUCGCACGGAAGUCAGACCGUAUUUACUCGAA
rnacentral:lncRNA from 1 species